GGAUGAACGCUAGCGGGAGGCUUAACACAUGCAAGUCGAGGGGUAAGAGGGUAGCAAUACGCUCUGAGACCGGCGCACGGGUGAGUAACGCGUAUGCAACCUGCCCUUUACAGGGGGAUAGCCCGGAGAAAUCCGGAUUAAUACCCCAUAGUCCUGUAACCUCGCAUGGGGAAUCAGGUAAAGCUGAGGCGGUAAAGGAUGGGCAUGCGUGACAUUAGCUAGUUGGCGGGGUAACGGCCCACCAAGGCUGCGAUGUCUAGGGGUUCUGAGAGGAAGGUCCCCCACACUGGUACUGAGACACGGACCAGACUCCUACGGGAGGCAGCAGUGAGGAAUAUUGGUCAAUGGGCGCGAGCCUGAACCAGCCAUGCCGCGUGUGGGAUGACAGGGCUUCGCCUUGUAAACCACUGUCGGAUGGGACGAGAGGGAGCCUCGGGCUCCUGGGACGGUACCAUCAAAGGAAGGGUC
rnacentral:rRNA from 1 species